rnacentral:rRNA from 1 species
GUCUCUUAGAAAUUAUUAAGAGUCAGGCCUGCCCAGUGAUUACUUUAUUUAACGGCCGCGGUACCCUGACCGUGCAAAGGUAGCAUAAUCAUUUGCCUUUUAAUUGGAGGCUGGUAUGAAUGGUUCGACGAGAGUAAAGCUGUCUCAUACACAUUAACUAGAAACUAAUUUAAAGGUGCAAAAGCCUUUAUAAAACAAAAAGACGAGAAGACCCUAUUGAGCUUUAAUUUUAAUGCGCACUAACUUUAUAUUUAUAUAACUAUUUGCUCAAUAAAAAUUUUAAUUGGGGCGAUUAAGGAACACAAUGAAGCUUCCUGAUUUUAAUAUUAAAUGUUUAUAGAUUAAAUCGAUCCAGCAAUGCUGAUCAACAAAAUGAGUUACCAUAGGGAUAACAGCAUAAUUCUUUUUCAGAGCUCAUAUCGAAAAAAGAGAUUGUGACCUCGAUGUUGGACUAGGGUAACGGGAAGGUGUAGCAGCUUUCUUGCUUGGUCUGUUCGACCAAUAAUUCCCU